GACGAACGCUGGCGGCGUGCCUAAUACAUGCAAGUAGAACGCUGAAGAGAGGAGCUUGCUCUUCUUGGAUGAGUUGCGAACGGGUGAGUAACGCGUAGGUAACCUGCCUGGUAGCGGGGGAUAACUAUUGGAAACGAUAGCUAAUACCGCAUAAAAUUGAUUAUUGCAUGAUAAUUAAUUGAAAGAUGCAAUUGCAUCACUACCAGAUGGACCUGCGUUGUAUUAGCUAGUUGGUGAGGUAACGGCUCACCAAGGCGACGAUACAUAGCCGACCUGAGAGGGUGAUCGGCCACACUGGGACUGAGACACGGCCCAGACUCCUACGGGAGGCAGCAGUAGGGAAUCUUCGGCAAUGGGGGGGAACCCCUGACCCGAGCAAACGCCGCGUGAAGUGAAAGAAAGGUUUUCGGAUCGUAAAAGCUUCUGUUGUAAAG
rnacentral:rRNA from 1 species